rnacentral:rRNA from 1 species
UACGGAGGGUGCGNGCGUUAAUCGGAAUUACUGGGCGUAAAGCGCGCGUAGGCGGUUUGUUAAGUCGGAUGUGAAAGCCCCGGGCUCAACCUGGGAACUGCACCCGAUACUGGCCGACUUGAGUGCGAGAGAGGGAGGUAGAAUUCCAUGUGUAGCAGUGAAAUGCGUAGAUAUAUGGAGGAAUACCGGUGGCGAAGGCGGCCUCCUGGCUCGACACUGACGCUGAGGUGCGAAAGCGUGGGUAGCAAACAGG